UACGAAGGGGGCUAGCGUUGCUCGGAAUCACUGGGCGUAAAGCGCACGUAGGCGGACUCUUAAGUCGGUGGUGAAAUCCUGGAGCUCAACUCCAGAACUGCCUUCGAUACUGAGAGUCUCGAGUCCGGGAGAGGUGAGUGGAACUGGCGAGUGUAGAGGUGAAAUUCGUAGAUAUUCGCAAGAACACCAGUGGCGAAGGCGGCUCACUGGCCCGGUACUGACGCUGAGGUG
rnacentral:rRNA from 1 species